CGACGGGACACGCCACCCCACCGUGGCGCGCCCAUCUGCAAGGAUGGAGACA
rfam:Bosea sp. Leaf344 contig_2, whole genome shotgun sequence.